rnacentral:rRNA from 1 species
AUCCGCAGCUUCGGUGACUGGCUUAGCCCCGUUACAUCUUCCGCGCAGGACGACUCGAUCAGUGAGCUAUUACGCUUUCUUUAAAGGAUGGCUGCUUCUAAGCCAACCUCCUGACUGUUUUAGCCUUCCCACUUCGUUUGCCACUUAGCCAAUCUUUGGGACCUUAGCUGGCGGUCUGGGUUGUUUCCCUCUUGACGUCGGACGUUAGCACCCGGCGUCUGUCUCCCAAGCUCGCACUCAUCGGUAUUCGGAGUUUGCAAUGGUUUGGUAAGUCUCGAUGACCCCCUAGCCAUAACAGUGCUCUACCCCCGAUGGUGAUACUUGAGGCACUACCUAAAUAGUUUUCGGAGAGAACCAGCUAUUUCCAAGUUUGUUUAGCCUUUCACCCCUACCCACAGCUCAUCCCCUAAUUUUUCAACAUUAGUGGGUUCGGACCUCCAGUGCGUGUUACCGCACCUUCAUCCUGGCCAUGAGUAGAUCACUUGGUUUCGGGUCUACACCCAGCGACUGAACGCCCUAUUCGGACUCGAUUUCUCUACGCCUUCCCUAUACGGUUAAGCUUGCCACUGAAUGUAAGUCGCUGACCCAUUAUACAAAAGGUACGCAGUCAC